rnacentral:rRNA from 1 species
GUCUAGGGCCACAUCACCCUGAACGUGCCCGAUCUCGUCUGAUCUCGGAAGCUAAGCAGGGUCGGGCCUGGUUAGUGCUUGGAUGGAAGAUUCCAUAUGAGAUUGAAAGAAAAGUUUGAAA